rnacentral:rRNA from 1 species
AUUGAACGCUGGCGGCAUGCCUUACACAUGCAAGUCGAACGGCAGCACGGGAGCAAUCCUGGUGGCGAGUGGCGAACGGGUGAGUAAAGUAUCGGAACGUGCCCAGUCGUGGGGGAUAACGUAGCGAAAGUUACGCUAAUACCGCAUACGCUCUAUGGAUGAAAGCGGGGGAUCGCAAGACCUCGCGCGAUUGGAGCGGCCGAUAGCAGAUGAGGUAGUUGGUGGGGUAAAGGCUCACCAAGCCGACGAGCUGUAGCGGGUCUGAGAGGACGACCAGCCACACUGGGACUGAGACACGGCCCAGACUCCUACGGGAGGCAGCAGUGGGGAAUUUUGGACAAUGGGCGAAAGCCUGAUCCAGCAAUGCCGCGUGCAGGAUGAAGGCCUUCGGGUUGUAAACUGCUUUUGUACGGAACGAAAAGCUUCGGGUUAAUACCCUGGAGUCAUGACGGUACCGUAAGAAUAAGCACCGGCUAACUACGUGCCAGCCGCCGCCGUAA